AUGCUGGUGGAAGGAUCGGAUCGUGGAAAGGUCCACAAUCAGUAGGCCCCGCCAGCACCUCGCCCGACCCCAAAGGGGUGUGGGCUGAGUCUGGAGGCGGGGGUGGGGGGCGUGUUCUGGUGGAAGGUAGGCACUUCCAGGUGGGUCUAAUUUUCCUUUGGAAAAGUCUACGACGCCUCUUCUACAGGCUGCUCCAGAAACACAGAUGGCCGGGCUCUGCACCAGACCCGAACCAGGCCAUUCAGAUUUUCUUUUUAUAAAAAGGCAGUGUGAAGCUCUACUAUGCUGGAGGCUGCAGCGGCAGGGAUGGAUCACCUACCAGAGGUUCCUCAGACCUCACCGGGCGGGGGAGGCCCUUCCUGAGAACAUAGCAGCAAGUUCUACUGGCUGCAGGGAGAGACAGGGCUGGAUGGUGCCAGGGCUGCCCUGCCAGCAUGGUGGCAUAGUGGCACUGUGAAGGAGUGACAGCUCUGGUCCAACAGCUUGGGAACCCCGAACCGUGGAGCCUGCACGGUUCCAUAGGGAGUGUUCAAGGUCACGGCUCAGGGAGACGGAAGGGGCCACUGCAUCCAGGGGCUUGUAAACUGUGUCCUCCCAGAACCCUGCUUCUGAGAAGGGACCUCAGGAGCUGUUGCUGGGGGUAGGACCCUGGACCCCACCCCAGUGUCGCACCCCCCCCCCCAGCUCAACAUCUGUCUGAUACACUGGAGUCCUUUGUAAGGUUUCAAUUGGGGGGGAAACUUUUUUUGUUGUUAUUACCCCCACAAAAAAUGCCAGUCAGCCUGGAAA